GGGUCAGUAGGUUGGUCGUGCCACCGGUACGUACUGGUCUCACUGAUUCCUCCUUCCUGAAGAACCGUAAUGCCAUUAAUUUGGUGUUGCGGGAAGACAGGACUGUUACUUUGAAAAAAUUAGAGUGUUUAACGCAAGCUAACGCUUGAAUACAUUAGCAUGGAAUAAUGAAAUAGGACGAUCGAUCCUAUUUUGUUGGUUUCUAGGAUUGACGUA
rnacentral:rRNA from 1 species